CCCUUAGAUGUUCUGGGCCGCACGCGCGCUACAAUGGUCUUCGCAAACGGAUGCAUUCUCGAAGGAGAAUGCCAAUCUUGGAAUCUAUGCCUUGGUCGGGACAGUUGCUUGCAAUUUUUCGACUCGAACCAGGAAUUCCUUGUAAUCGUGAUUCAUCACAUCACGAUGAAUACGUCCCUGCCCUUUGUACACACCGCCCGUCGCUCCUACCGAUCGAAGAGUUAGGUGAAUUGCUUUGAUCGAUAAGAUUUGACUAUGGUCAACUCUCGUUGUGAAAUUCUGUGAAUCUGACUGUUUAGAGGAAGGAAAAGUCGUAACA
rnacentral:rRNA from 1 species